UUGAUGAAAGACAGAACAACCAGGAAGAACCAUUGUUGAGGUAGCCACCCCGAUCCUCUCUCUUCAACUACUUCCACUUCUUGUAGCUUUACAUCAUCUUCGUCUUCAUGCUCCCACAAUUUGUUUUCUCCAGCACGUUAGCUGAGCUUCUAACAUGGCAACUCAAGGCUUCCCGGAGGACAAAGAUAGAGGCUUCCGCGUGCUGACAAAAUGGAACCAUUAAGACUUUUCCAUCAUAUUUCAUAUUCAUCCAACAAAUAGUUACAGAGAACUUGAACAGUGUUAGGAGACAUAGCAGAGCCAACAGUUCACUGUUUUCAUUGGGCUUUUGUUCUGAUAUUAGAGAGGAAACAGACAAUACAAAAAAGAGAAUAUAUAUUGUGUGUGAUAUGUAAUACUAAGAAAAUAACAGCAGAAAAGGAGUUACAGUGCGUGUUUGUGGGAGGCAGGAAGUAGAAGCAGGAGGGUGUGGCUUGCUGAGAAUAUGUUCUUACAUGCCUGAAGCAAGGAGGGGAGCAGAGCAUGCACAUCUCCAGGGGGAGACCAUUCCUAGCAGAGGGAACAAUUGAAAAUACCUUAUGGUGAGAACAUGUCAACUUUGCCUGUAGAAUCUUAAGAUAGCUCUUAAGGCUGAAUGGGGAUGAAGAAUAAAACAAAACAAAAAGAGAAGAUGUUAAGUUGGGAGAG